rnacentral:rRNA from 1 species
UACAGAGGGUGCAAGCGUUAAUCGGAAUUACUGGGCGUAAAGCGCGCGUAGGUGGUUUGUUAAGUUGGAUGUGAAAGCCCCGGGCUCAACCUGGGAACUGCAUUCAAAACUGACAAGCUAGAGUAUGGUAGAGGGUGGUGGAAUUUCCUGUGUAGCGGUGAAAUGCGUAGAUAUAGGAAGGGACACCAGUGGCGAAGGCGACCACCUGGACUGAUACUGACACUGAGGUGCGAAAGCGUGGGGAGCAAACAGG